GACGAACGCUGGCGGCGUGCUUAACACAUGCAAGUCGAACGGAAAGGCCCUGCUUUUGUGGGGUGCUCGAGUGGCGAACGGGUGAGUAACACGUGAGUAACCUGCCCUUGACUUUGGGAUAACUUCAGGAAACUGGGGCUAAUACCGGAUAGGAGCUCCUGCUGCAUGGUGGGGGUUGGAAAGUUUCGGCGGUUGGGGAUGGACUCGCGGCUUAUCAGCUUGUUGGUGGGGUAGUGGCUUACCCAGGCUUUGACGGGUAGCCGGCCUGAGAGGGUGACCGGCCACAUUGGGACUGAGAUACGGCCCAGACUCCUACGGGAGGCAGCAGUGGCGAAUAUUGCACAAUGGGCGGAAGCCUGAUGCAGCAACGCCGCGUGCGGGAUGACGGCCUUCGGGUUGUAAACCGCUUUCGCCUGUGACGAAGCGUGAGUGACGGUAAUGGGUAAAGAAGCACCGGCUAACUACGUG
rnacentral:rRNA from 1 species